rnacentral:lncRNA from 1 species
GUCCUGGUGCAAAUGAAGCGAAAACGAGUAAUAUAGAAAUAACCAGCUAGUUGGGCAGAGUGGAGAGCCAGUGACCGAAGUAAAACUUGGCACUAUUUUCUGUGAGUGGGCCGAACCCGCUAUCUCUAUCUUAUAAGAUGGUGUCCAUAUUAUAAAAGAAAAAGGAAGCAACAUCAAACGUGAAGAUGCCUAGGGACGAGCACGUGCGUUUUUUUGAACAAAAGUUAGUGGGGCCUCCAAGAAUAAAAGCCCGAGCAAUGUUAGUGAAUCAGUAAUAUUGGGCCCGGUGAACAAUUCUGAAUAUUAUAUAAUAUCAUUAAUAAAUCCUAAUCUAACCUAGUCCUACCUAAUCGACACAUACAUAUAUAUCAUACUUGGACGACAAGGAGUCAGGGAUAAUCAUCAUCAGACGUACAAGAGAUCAGAAUAGUGGGGACGGCAGCAACGAUCAGACGCACGAAGAUACAUUCUUAGAUAUUUUUUGAAGGCGAUUUACAUAUGAACAAGGCUAAAGAAUCAUUGGAUUAAAGGUCAAGAAGCUUGGAGAGCAAGGGAUUAAUGGACCAUGUUUCUCGGCUAGAUCUUCUUUAACUACCUAGGUGAUGACAAUAGUUAAAUAAAGUUUGGUUCUUUAUUUGGUUUUUGGCUUGGUUGUGGAUUUUUCUUGUAUUGUAAAAGCUUCG